rnacentral:rRNA from 1 species
GACGAACGCUGGCGGCGUGCUUAACACAUGCAAGUCGAACGGAAAGGCCCUGCUUUUGUGGGGUGCUCGAGUGGCGAACGGGUGAGUAACACGUGAGUAACCUGCCCUUGACUUUGGGAUAACUUCAGGAAACUGGGGCUAAUACCGGAUAGGAGCUCCUGCUGCAUGGUGGGGGUUGGAAAGUUUCGGCGGUUGGGGAUGGACUCGCGGCUAAUCAGCUUGUUGGUGGGGUAGUGGCUUACCAAGGCUUUGACGGGUAGCCGGCCUGAGAGGGUGACCGGCCACAUUGGGACUGAGAUACGGACCAGACUCCUACGGGAGGCAGCAGUGGGGAAUAUUGCACAAUGGGCGGAAGCCUGAUGCAGCAACGCCGCGUGCGGGAUGACGGCCCUCGGGUUGUAAACCGCUUUCGCCUGUGACGAAGCGUGAGUGACGGUAAUGGGUAAAGAAGCACCGGCUAACUACGUG